GAUGAACGCUGGCGGCGUGCCUAACACAUGCAAGUCGAACGAAGCUUGACGGAUGAUUUCUUCGGAAUGAAACCAGAUAUGACUUAGUGGCGGACGGGUGAGUAACACGUGAGCAACCUGCCUUUCAGAGGGGGAUAACGGCUGGAAACGGUCGCUAAUACCGCAUGAUGUGUUCGGAUGGCAUCAUCUGAACAUCAAAGAUUUAUCGCUGAAAGAUGGGCUCGCGUCUGAUUAGAUAGUUGGUGGGGUAACGGCCUACCAAGUCUACGAUCAGUAGCCGGACUGAGAGGUUGAACGGCCACAUUGGGACUGAGAUACGGCCCAGACUCCUACGGGAGGCAGCAGUGGGGAAUAUUGCACAAUGGGGAAACCCUGAUGCAGCAACGCCGCGUGAAGGAUGACGGUUUUCGGAGUGUAAACUUCUUUUCUUAGUGACGAAGACAGUGACGGUAGCUAAGGAAUAAGCAUCGGCUAACUACGUG
rnacentral:rRNA from 1 species